rnacentral:rRNA from 1 species
AUGGCGCAGGAGGAGAGGGAGCUCCAGGUCCGAGCCCUCGACGGGCGGUCCACCGCCGUAACGCUCGCCGCCGCCGCCUCCGUCCGGGACCUCAAGGCCGCGCUCCGGGGCUCCUUCCCUCCCGCGCAGAUCUCAAACAGCUUCCAUCUCUUCCUCAAGGGUGCUAAACUGCGAUUGGAGGCCGAGAUUGGCAGCCUUGCGAUCGUCAAAGGCGAAUUCAUUGUUCUCGUUCCCUUUACAAGGAAGUCAGCGCAGCCUUCUCCGGUGGCCAUGCCAGCCGAAGAGCAGAGUGCAAAUCCACCAAUAUCACAGGAAGUGGCGACUGGGGCUAAUUCAGCCUGGCAAGACAUUAUGAAUGACCUCUCAUCAAUACCCAAUAGCACAAACGCUGAUGAUGCAUUGAAAGAUCUGUAUUCCUCUAGCACCCCCUGUUCUGGGAGCUAUGCAGAGGAUGGGUCGGCAGGUAAAAGCCCGUCAACUGGAUGUUCAAGGAAAAGGAGAAAACUAUGCAAGGAAAAUGGAAAUGGUUCCAGUGAUACACCUGGAGUGGACGGUGCAUCGAAGCAGCCUAGCAUGAAUAAGAAGAGUGGUUUUGUCAGAUCUGCUGCAUCAUCAUGCCAUGAUAAACACCCCUUAGGGCCUGCCGAAAUGGUUGAACAUCUGAAAAAUGGCCUUGGAAAGGAGGGGCAGAUUGUACAUAUUGAAGAGAUUCCAUGUAGACGUGCAUCAUAUUCAGAACUUCCUCGUGAUCUUUCAGAAGUUAUGAGGAAAGCACUAGAAAGUAUUGGAAUAUCUAGAUUGUAUAGCCAUCAGUCUGAAGCUAUACAGUCUUCCAUUUCUGGGAAGCAUGUUGUAGUUGCAACUUCAACAUCAAGUGGAAAGUCUUUGUGCUACAAUAUUCCUGUUCUUGAAUCUCUCUCUCAAGACUUGAUGUCGUGUGCUUUAUAUAUAUUUCCGACGAAGGCUUUAGCUCAAGAUCAGUUGAGGACCAUAGUGGAGAUGAAGAAAGCAUUUCACACUGAUAUUAAUGUUAGCAUCUAUGAUGGAGAUACCCCUAGAGAAGAUCGUCUCUGGAUCAGGGAUAAUGCACGACUGCUAAUUACCAACCCAGAUAUGCUGCACGUGUCAGUCUUGCCAUGUCACAGUCAAUUCCAAAGGAUUUUGUCAAAUCUCAGGUAUAUUGUCAUUGAUGAAGCUCAUUCAUAUAAAGGAGUAUUUGGCUGCCAUACUGCACUUAUACUUAGAAGAUUGAAGCGUAUUUGUUCAAAUAUUUAUGGCUGUCAUCCUACAUUCACGUUUUGUACAGCUACCUCAGCAAACCCACGUGAGCAUGUUAUGGAGCUGGCCAAAUUGGAUAAUGUCGGGUUGAUUCAGAAUGAUGGAAGUCCGUGUGGUUCUAAAUAUUUUCUCUUGUGGAAUCCCCCAUUACAUAUGAAAAAAGAGGGAGGCUCACAAGGUAGUUCAGUUACUAGACGCUCAAGCCCAAUAGUAGAGGUUUCUUAUCUGUUCUCUGAGAUGGUUCAACAUGGGCUCCGCUGCAUUGCAUUCUGUAAAACGAGGAAGCUAUGUGAGCUCGUUCUGUCUUACACGCGUGAAAUUCUUGAGGUGACUGGAAAAGAAUUGGUAGAUUCUAUCUGUGUAUAUCGUGCUGGCUACAUUGCAGAGGACAGAAGAAAAAUCGAGGCUGACCUCUUUGAGGGAAAACUUUGUGGCGUUGCUGCCACAAAUGCUCUUGAGCUGGGAAUUGAUGUUGGACAUAUUGAUGCAACAUUGCAUCUUGGAUUUCCUGGGAGUGUUGCGAGUUUAUGGCAGCAAGCCGGAAGAUCUGGAAGGAGAGCAAAACAAUCAUUAGCCAUUUAUGUUGCCUUUGAGGGUCCUUUAGAUCAGUAUUUCAUGAAAUCCCCAGAUAAACUAUUUGGCAAGCCAAUUGAGCAUUGCCAAGUUGAUUCACAUAACCCAAAGGUUUUAGGACAGCACAUUGCCUGUGCUGCUUAUGAACAUCCAAUAUGCCUGCAAUAUGAUGAGAAUCAUUUUGGUUCUACUUUGGAUAGUAUAGUGACGACUCUAAAGGACAAAGGUUUUCUGGUCAACAACCCGUCUGGACCUUUUUCUUCAACUAUGUGGAAUUAUAUUGGACCAGAGAAAAAUCCUUCACAGACAGUUAGCAUACGAGCAAUUGAGCAUGACAAGUACAAAGUGAUAGAUAAGUUAAAUAACAGAUUACUUGAGGAAAUUGAGGAAAGUAAGGCAUUUUUCCAGGUGUAUGAGGGUGCUAUUUACAUGCAUCAGGGUGUUAAUUACUUAGUUGAGGAGUUUGAUUUGUCAUCAAGGACAGCUUUCUGCCGGAAAGUUGAUGUUAAGUAUUACACAAAGACACGAGACUACACUGACAUCAAUGUCCUUGGAGGAGAUUUUGCUUAUCUUCCGGCAUGCAAAACCAACCAUUUGAAGACAACUGCGCAAGCAAAUAGUUGCAAGGUGUCAACCAAAUGGUUUGGCUUUCAUCGGAUAUGCAAAUCGAGCAGUAAAAUAUUAGACACAGUUGAACUUAGACUACCUCCAUACUCCUAUGAUUCUGAGGCUGUUUGGAUACGGAUUCCGCGGUCAGCAAAACUAGCUGUGGAGGAAAGGAAACUAGAGUUUCGAGGUGGUUCACAUGCUGCUUCACACACACUCUUGAAUAUAUUGCCUCUGCAUAUGAUGUGUGGUGCUUCUGACCUAGGAACUGAGUGCGUAAAUCCUCACGAAACCCGUGGUAUGCCUGAAAGAAUUCUUUUAUACGAUAAACACCCAGGUGGUAUCGGCCUGGCAACGCAGGUUAAAAAACUCUUUGGGGAACUUCUGCUUGCUGCUUUAGAGCUUGUUUCGGCAUGCAGUUGCGCUAGUGCUUCUGGCUGUCCGAAUUGUAUCCAAUCAUUGACAUGUAGCGAAUAUAAUGAGGUUUUGGACAAGGAGGCGGCGAUUUUGAUCCUAAAGGGUGUGAUUGAACACGAUAGAUCGUAUUUUGAAGUGAAAGAAGCUUCUGAUCGAAGCUGA